UGAUCACAGACCCUGAAUAGCAGCAGAAAACAGACUCAUCAGGAAAGGAAGAAAAUGGAAUGCAAAAUGGAAUUUUCACAGGUUCCAGGUUCAGGUUGUACUUCAGUAGUCAAGUGCAAAAGAUUCAAGGUUGACAUUCCAUGACAGUAUUGAAGGAGUACAGCACUGUUAAAGAUGCUGCUUUUGGAUGAAAUGUUAAUCUAAAAUCUGCCUGCAUGAAUGGAUGUACAAGAUCCUAAGGCACUAUUUUGGAAAAGAGGAGAAAGACUAUCCUUGGUGUUCUGAACAGUAUUUUGAAGAGUCUGAAGGUUGUCAAAAUAUCCAUAAAUAAAGUGGCAACAAAAGAGCCAUUCCA